AGAUUGAACGCUGGCGGCAUGCCUUACACAUGCAAGUCGAACGGUAGAGUAGCAAUACUCGAGAGUGGCGAACGGGUGAGUAAUAUAUCGGAACGUGCCCAGUCGUGGGGGAUAACGUAGAGAAAUUUACGCUAAUACCGCAUACGAUCUACGGAUGAAAGCGGGGGAUUCGCAAGAACCUCGCGCGAUUGGAGCGGCUGAUAUCAGAUUAGGUUGUUGGUGAGGUAAAAGCUCACCAAGCCGACGAUCUGUAGCUGGUUUGAGAGAACG
rnacentral:rRNA from 1 species